rnacentral:rRNA from 1 species
CACGUAGGGGGCAAGCGUUGUCCGGAUUUAUUGGGCGUAAAGAGCUCGUAGGUGGUUCGGUAAGUCAGGUGUGAAACCUCCAGGCUCAACCUGGAGACGCCACUUGAUACUGCUGUGACUGGAGUCCGGUAGGGGAGCGUGGAAUUCCUGGUGUAGCGGUGAAAUGCGCAGAUAUCAGGAGGAACACCGGUGGCGAAGGCGCCACUCUGGGCCGAAACUGACGCUGAGGAGCGAAAGCGUGGGUAGCAAACAGG